AAAGUUUAUGAAGAUAAAUAACUAACAAAUCUGUUAACAAUAGUUAACACACUAAAGUAAACAGAACAAACUACUAACAAAUGUACUUAUUUAUUCAUUUAUCAAUUUAUAAAUAUACUUAUUUUUUUAAAUAUCAAGGUUACGCUUCUUUAUGAGUCUUAAUAAAGAAUCAAAAAUAAAAAAUGAACUGGCUCUAGCUGAUAUUCGUUCCUCUUUCAGAACCAUCUGCACUCCCAGAUUAAGGUCAGUGAACCUUCUGACCUUCCUCUUUAUAUCUCAGAAACGUUCUCUAUUUAUAGCAGAUAUAUUAUAUAUGUCAAUGUUUUCCCAUGACAAUACCCCUGAACACAUCAACAGUAUUUGAAAAGACAAUAUAAAUGAAUGAACAGGGCACAAUUAACCAAUCAAGGCACAAACAUGCUUAAAAGUACACUUUUAUCAGAAGUACAAUUCAUUUUUUCUAAUCGUUUUAGGGACUAGAGUGCACCUUUAAAAGGCUGCGUUAGCACAAAGCCAAGCACAACAUUCAACAGCAGAUUUCCACAGCAUGAUCUGAACAUGCAUUACAGUGCAUUCUGUACACGCAUACAAGCAUUAAAAUGCUUACUCUAACUUUUUUGGUUGGGAGGCAAUAAUCAUAUCACUCAUAUCAUUUACAAUCCUCAGAGACGGUAAGCACAUGCCUCUCUCUCUAUAUAAUGGUCACAGAUAGUGGUAAUAGAUUACAGUUGUACAUCCUGCUGUGAUGACAUGCAGCGGGAAUUCAUUAAUACAUAAUCACAAAUGCUCUCUGUUCAAAUAGCAUGUGUUCACUACAGUCUUUACAGAUAUUGAUCAUACUCAACUACUGAGACUAAUCCACUAAAUGUCUUAGACAAUCUGGAAUUACAUGGCACAUUUUUAUCUUUUUGAAGCACAGACACAACUGCACUUUUAUUUUGCCCUAUAUUUUGCAGCUCUGGGACCUCUUGGAACAAAACUCGUUCUAGCGUAAACGUUGAGCCAUAUUUUAGUUGACUACAGCUGAAGAAAUGUAUACGCAACAAGAGGUGCUGGAGGCCAUAAUGUUUGUGAGCAAAGUGCUAUACUGUAUAUUUAUGUACAUUGUGAUUCUGAAUAUUAUAUCUGUAAAUAUCGGUGUACAUUUUGUUAAACGAACGGUAAGAAAUCUAUGAAAGGCAAACAGGUGAAUUCUUGUAACACUGCUGUGUAUGAUAUUGUUGUACAGUUAAAGCGUAGAAUAUUUAACUAUUUUGUACAUUGUGUAAUAGUGUAUGUGUUGUGUAUGGGGGUAGUGUCUUGUAAUCAAGUGUGUGUGUGUAUGUGUGUAAAAAAAAAAGCUGUUUUAUUUUUGCUAUUUUGAUGUUGUGAGUCCCUUACCUCCCUUAAUUCACCUCCAGCUGUGAGUUUUGGUUCCUCUGUGAACAUGACUCGAUCAUUUGUGUGUUCACGCCACAAAGAUUGUUGGUUAGUGCACUGAACUGAAAUUUUCUUUUACGCUUUUAAUGUAAAUGUUGGUUUAAAUCUGAUGUGGAAGUCAGCUUAUCAUACAGACAGCACCUUCUGUACUGUACGCUCCUCUGGCCUUAGUAUCCGCAAUAUUAUUGUUUGCUGCUUCUAGGUUUCGUCAAAAUGUUCAAGCACUUUUUAUGUUUAGUCCGACUAUAUUCAGCGCAGUCAUUAUUAGUAGUGUUAGAUUAUUGUAAGACACACUCAGCUGGGACAUUUCCGCACUUUGUGUCCCAAGCGUAUACGAGCACUAAGGAGGAAAGUGAAAAAUAGAGUACUUUUGCACUCUGGAAGUGCUACUUUAAUCAUUACAAAUAUACUUGAUGUGAAUGUAAACGUAUUUUUAAUCCCCUAAAGUACUGUAAGUUUAGUAAGAAGGACACAGAUGAAACGUGUACUAUUACCCUCCAGUCUACACUUAUGUGCUGUGCUAGUUUUAGAUUUAUAAGCAAUAUUUCUGCAGGCAUUUACUUUGGUUGGACGUUGGUCAGAUGGUCUGUGAGGCCACAGGAACCACUGUUACUCUGAGAGUAGCGGUGUUGGAGGGCUUCACUGCUAAAGAAGAGCAAUGCUCUUAAAACUUUAGUCAAACCCUAUUCUGUUGGCUAUACAAGGACUAUUUUAAUGUCUCAGUGUCAUAGAUAUUGUACAGUAUUUCCGAUUCACUUGGGAUAACGCUGAGUUAUGAAUAUUAAAUAUGGACCAUCAAAAAAAAACGAACAAUAAAAAGU
ensembl:lncRNA